AGUGGCCGCUCGUGUGUGCGUAAGCUCGUAGUCGGAUUUCGGGCGCGUGUGACUGUCACCUCUGGUUGGACGGAGCGCGCGUGCCUUUCUGCUUGGGAGCCCCAUGGCGGUGAAUUCUGUCGGGGAGGGUCACAUGACGUUUACUUUGAAAAAAUGAUAGUGUUCAGAUCUCGCUGUUGCUUGAAUAGAUUAGCAUGGAAUAAUGGAAUAGGACCUUGGUGCUAUUUCUUUGGUUAUGGGACUGGGGUUAUGAUUAAUAGGGACAGCUGGGGCCCCUCGUAUUUCGGUGUCAUACGUGAAAUUCUUGGAUUUACGAACGAUGAACUUGUGCGAAAGCUUUCUGGAAGGAUGUUUUCAUUGAUCAGGAACGAAAGUUACGGGAUCGAACACGAUCAGAUACCGUCGUACUCUUAACCCUAAACUAUGCCGACUAGGGAUCAUUGAGUGUCAAUUUACGACCUCUUUGGCACCUUGGGACAAACCAAAUGUUUUGGGUUCCCGCCCGAGUAUGGUCGCUAGGCUGAAACUUAAAUGAAUUGACCGAAGGGCACCACCGCUACUGGUGCCUGCGGCUUAAUUUCACUCACCACGGGUAUACUUACCUCGUUCAUACAUACUCUCGAUGGAUAGAUUCAAAACUCUUUCUUGAUUCUGUGCCCGGUGGUGCAUGGACGUUCUGAUUUGGUGGAGUGAUUUGUCUGGUUAAUUCCGUUAACUGACGAGACCUCAGCCUGCUAACUAGCGAUGCACAUUUUUUUUGGCCAUUCCACUUCUUAGACGGACUAUUCUUGUUCAACAAAUGUGAAUCUGAUGCAAUAACACUCUGUGAUGCCCUUACUAUUCUGGGCCGCACGCGCGCUACUCUGAAGUACGCAACUAGCUCUACACUAGACCGAAAGGUCCGGGUAAUCUUGUCAAAAUCUUAGAGAUGAGGAUAGAUUAUUGCUAUUCGAGAUCUUCAUCUAGGCAUUCCUAUCUGCGCGGAUUUCAAUUG
rnacentral:rRNA from 1 species